rnacentral:rRNA from 1 species
AGAGUUUGAUCCUGGCUCAGGACGAACGCUGGCGGCACGCUUAACACAUGCAAGUCGAACAAGAGAAGAGGAGCUUGCUUUUCUGAUCUAGUGGCGGACGGGUGAGUAACACGUGAGCAAUCUGCCUUUCAGAGGGGGAUACCGAUUGGAAACGAUCGUUAAUACCGCAUAACAUAAUUGAACCGCAUGAUUUGAUUAUCAAAGAUUUAUCGCUGAAAGAUGAGCUCGCGUCUGAUUAGCUAGUUGGUAAGGUAACGGCUUACCAAGGCGACGAUCAGUAGCCGGACUGAGAGGUCGAUCGGCCACAUUGGGACUGAGACACGGCCCAGACUCCUACGGGAGGCAGCAGUGGGGAAUAUUGCACAAUGGAGGAAACUCUGAUGCAGCGAUGCCGCGUGAGGGAAGAAGGUUUUAGGAUUGUAAACCUCUGUCUUCAGGGACGAAAAAAGACGGUACCUGAGGAGGAAGCUCCGGCUAACUACGUGCCAGCAGCCGCGGUAAUACGUAGGGAGCGAGCGUUGUCCGGAAUUACUGGGUGUAAAGGGAGCGUAGGCGGGAUCGCAAGUCAGAUGUGAAAACUAUGGGCUUAACCCAUAAACUGCAUUUGAAACUGUGGUUCUUGAGUGAAGUAGAGGUAAGCGGAAUUCCUAGUGUAGCGGUGAAAUGCGUAGAUAUUAGGAGGAACAUCAGUGGCGAAGGCGGCUUACUGGGCUUUAACUGACGCUGAGGCUCGAAAGCGUGGGGAGCAAACAGGAUUAGAUACCCUGGUAGUCCACGCCGUAAACGAUGAUUACUAGGUGUGGGGGGACUGACCCCUUCCGUGCCGCAGCAAACGCAAUAAGUAAUCCACCUGGGGAGUACGACCGCAAGGUUGAAACUCAAAGGAAUUGACGGGGGCCCGCACAAGCAGUGGAGUAUGUGGAUUAAUUCGAAGCAACGCGAAGAACCUUACCAGGUCUUGACAUCGUAUGCAUAGCUCAGAGAUGAGUGAAAUCUCUUCGGAGACAUAUAGACAGGUGGUGCAUGGUUGUCGUCAGCUCGUGUCGUGAGAUGUUGGGUUAAGUCCCGCAACGAGCGCAACCCUUACUGUUAGUUGCUACGCAAGAGCACUCUAGCAGGACUGCCGUUGACAAAACGGAGGAAGGUGGGGAUGACGUCAAAUCAUCAUGCCCCUUAUGACCUGGGCCUCACACGUACUACAAUGGCUGUCAACAGAGGGAAGCAAAGCCGCGAGGUGGAGCGAACCCCUAAAAGCAGUCUUAGUUCGGAUUGUAGGCUGCAACCCGCCUACAUGAAGUCGGAAUUGCUAGUAAUCGCAGAUCAGCAUGCUGCGGUGAAUACGUUC